UACAGAGGGGGCAAGCGUUGUUCGGAAUUACUGGGCGUAAAGGGCGCGUAGGCGGCCUGUUAAGUCGAACGUGAAAUCCCCGGGCUCAACCCGGGAACUGCGUCCGAUACUGGCAGGCUUGAAUCCGGGAGAGGGAUGCGGAAUUCCAGGUGUAGCGGUGAAAUGCGUAGAUAUCUGGAGGAACACCGGUGGCGAAGGCGGCAUCCUGGACCGGCAUUGACGCUGAGGCGCGAAAGCCAGAGGAGCAAACGGG
rnacentral:rRNA from 1 species